GUUUAGCCUAGCGAAUGAGGCACUGUUUUUCGUUUUCGUUUUCGUUUUACGGAGCAAGGUGGGGGACGCGGCCUCAAGUCAGUCCAAGUCCGGUUUCUUGUGGAAAAAAGGGUAGUGGCCGAACUAGUAUUGCAUACCAAAUGAACACCACCGGAAGAUAUAGGGGAUCGGGAGAGGGGAGGUGAAAGAAAAUUAGUGUUGGUGUGAGUAGUAAGAACUUGGAUGACUUGAGCAGUUACGGUAAUCUAAGUUUAACACUGAAUAAAGAAAAUCUGAAAUUGUGAUUCAAAGUAAGAAGGCCCGGAAAAAAUUCAAUUAUUAGUUAAUUAAAUAAGAAAAUGUAACUAAUCGGAGAUCUAUACAAAAGAAACCUGUGAUGUAUUCCAAAUUUAAAGGAAAUAAAAAAUACUAGAGAAAAAAAGAUGAAAACUAACUGCCGACCUGUCACGUCCGUCAAUAGUCUUGUCGUACAUUACAACUAAAAACAGAUCUGCCAAUGAAAUGUUACACUUCGUUCAAAUCAACUAAUCAUUUAAGUCCAAUUAUUCAUCUACAGAAAACUAUCUAACUUUAAUCAACAACCUAAACUAAACUGUCUGAAAGUAUAUUUAAUCUCAAAUCCCCGAAUGUUUUAUUAUAACGCCAAAUAAGGUAAAUGAUCUUGUUUUUAAACCAGUCUUGCCGCUUCCAAAAACCAAUAAACAUAAAUGAACAGUUCAUAAGUUGAACACUAGUAAUUAAGACGACUAUUUCAUGCCAUUCAUUUCAUUAGGGCAUAGAGCUUUGCAAACAAGAGUGCAUCUCUAUUAUACCUUAUGUAAACUGUCAUUUGAGUGAAAGAGACACACUCCUGUUCACAAAACCCAUGCGCCCUUUUGAAAUGUUAGGCUCCAUUUGAUCGUCAAGGCUCCAGUAGACCCUCGAUUCGCAACAAUGGUCGAUACAACCAUAGACUAAUUAAAGACUAAACACUCGGAACAAAAAAUUUCAAAAAUUAUGACUCAUAAGCUGUGAACCGCGGGUACCACGUUGAACCACGCAUCGGCUUGCCCCUCGUAUGACAGAACGACAUGGCAGCGCUGGUUUUUUCGAUUUCGUUUUGUGCUGAUUUACGCGCGCAUCUUGUUUGUUUUUGUUUUUCUUAGCAAUCAAGGCAGCAGGCUGCAAACAAGUCAAUCAGCUGUGCAGGGAUUUUUGUUUGGCGAAACAAGCGAAAUUUACUGGUGUUUGGUUUGUAAGAUGAUUGCUGUUUUCUCAUCAUUCCUCGCAAGCCAAAUCUGUUCAAUACGAACGGCUCGAUCGUCCGCGACCUCGCCGCCGGAUGAUUGAA